GAAACGGAGCGCCAACACAACAACUGACAAGCAGGGAAUCACUGACUUUUGCUGCUGUUUUCAAAGCUCUCGCCUUUCAGGAGAGGAAAAAAACCUCAGCAACAGGCGAAGCUCCAAGAUUUAGCAAUUUCUGAAGGCAGAAGAACUGGGAAAGCUUCUUAAAUUUUUAAGAAGGCUUUGACAUCCAUAACUGUAGUGAGCAGGCGUGGUUCAUCCUGCUGCUAUUGGGAGAAGCAUGCACAAGCUCUCAGUCCAGUCUGUUUUUCCACCUUGCCGUUCUCCGGUGGCUUUUUAUCCGAUCUCUCGACGCCAGUUACUGCAAUCAGACACAGGUGUUUAUCAUUUUGCACUUUACUCAGUGCUUGUCUCCCAAAUAUCUGUCCAGCUGGCCGCUGCAGACCUUGGUGAACCACACACCACUUUGCCACAUAAACUUUUAGUGUACACUACCAUUCAAAGGUUUUGGAUCUAUUUAAAAUAGAAAUAAGUUACAUUUUACUAUAUUCACACAUAAAACUGCUAUUCAGAAAAUUCAACUUAGAUCACAGUGAUCAAUUACAUUUUAACAUAAUUCACACAUAACACAUCUCAUAACCGUUCACUACAGUUAUAUGUGAUGAAAUAAAUAAUCUUUAGUGUGAAAUAAUACGAACAGCAGCUAUGCUAAUCUUUCUCCUUUUGGUUUCCUGUUUCUAUCUUGGGAUGCCCAUCUCAAAGUUACUAGACAUUACGCCAGUUCCAGUUUGGAUCCAGCCUUCAGAAGAUGCUAAGACUCACGAUGACUUCAGAAGAUGCUAAGACUCACGAUGACUUCAGAUGAUGACAACUAAAGAUGAACAUACAAGUCUACCAAAUAUUAUCCUUAUAUUGUGAUCAUUGCCCUAAAAAGGAGGAACUUCUCAACAAAUUCACUUCACAGCGCAUCAAUGGAAGGCUUUCCUAUGUAACAAACAUGGUUUUCCACUCUUGUAUUUAUCCAUAUCAGGUUU